rnacentral:rRNA from 1 species
CCUACGGGUGGCUGCAGUGGGGAAUCUUGCGCAAUGGGCGAAAGCCUGACGCAGCCAUGCCGCGUGAAUGAUGAAGGUCUUAGGAUUGUAAAAUUCUUUCACCGGGGACGAUAAUGACGGUACCCGGAGAAGAAGCCCCGGCUAACUUCGUGCCAGCAGCCGCGGUAAUACGAAGGGGGCUAGCGUUGCUCGGAAUUACUGGGCGUAAAGGGAGCGUAGGCGGACAUUUAAGUCAGGGGUGAAAUCCCGGGGCUCAACCUCGGAAUUGCCUUUGAUACUGGGUGUCUUGAGUAUGAGAGAGGUGUGUGGAACUCCGAGUGUAGAGGUGAAAUUCGUAGAUAUUCGGAAGAACACCAGUGGCGAAGGCGACACACUGGCUCAUUACUGACGCUGAGGCUCGAAAGCGUGGGGAGCAAACAGGAUUAGAUACCCGUGUAGUC